ACGCUUUUGCCUUCUCAUCUGGGUCUGUAGGUCCAGCCUCUGAAGUCCUUUGUUUUGCGGGGUCGAGGGCAGCCGCCAGGCUGUGGGGGGCUUUGUGGAUGGGCGGCAGGAGAGGCGCUCAGAAGCCAGAGGUUUUGGAUGCUCCCUCCCCUACCAGAGCUGCUGCCCCGACUCUUUCUAGCUUCAACCUGUCUCCCUUGGGUCUACAGGUCGGCUGCCGGGAAAAAGGGGAUUUGAAGGAAUGGGAAUGGGGACCCGGCCGCUCUGGCAAAGUGGGGGCGGGUCUGCGGGGGUGGCCGAACCCCAGCGGUUGCCAGAGGGCGUGGUGGCUGCCCAGACUCCAGUUCGGUGCUCCCAGGCUCCCUCUGGCUUUCUUUCCCAAACUCAGCCCUGUAGCUUGGGAGACACUGACAGACUGCAUGCCAUAUGUAGAAAAAGGCUGACUUUUAUUUUCCUGCAGAGCAUCUUCCUCGGGAGAGCAGGGAGCCCCAAGUCAUCGAGUUAAGAGCAGGAGAAUCCCCUUGACUAGGUUGGGGUCUGAGCCCAGAGGCAGGGCCUAAGGAGGUGCAGAGACUAGGGCCGGGAGUGGUGAGGCAAGGUUGGGGCCUGGAGGGACAGCUAUGACCGUUGAACUUGCAGACCCUGGUCCACCUUCUUGGAGUGGAAGCCAGCGGUGCAGAAGGGGACCCCUGAGGCGCAGAGGCAAGUAACAGUGCCAGGGGAGUGGUCAGGGCAGAUCCUUUCCUUCUCAGGAGGCUGUUGAGGGGGAGAGUGUCAUGCUCUAAACAGUGAAGGGACAGAUGACUUCCAUACCCCACUCUUCCUUGCUGGUGAGAAGUGGACCUUGGAGUUCAGUGGCUGAAACUCAGAAUUUAGGGUAUGGAGCUGGACCCAGAGAAUAAAGUCUCAAGUAGUAGAAGGGGCAUCUCCUUCAGUCCAUGGAUUUGGGCCUCUGGCAUGAAGCAGCCAGGGCCUGGAUGUUAAGGAUUUAGAAUUCAGUGGGAGAGGAAGAACAGGGCUUGUAACCAGAGUGAGCUCCUCACUCUGCCUCCCCAUCCUGGGGCCGAGAGAGCAGGUGGAGUUUUCUUUGUAGCUGGGCCCGGAGGUAGCGGAGGUCUUGCUGAUCAAGCCCGUGAGCCAGGCCCAGGUAGAGGGUAAGGAGGAAAGCAAGGAGGAGACGGUCCGUGCCCAGGGUAGGCACCACCCACAGCACUGUCAGCAGCUCCACACACACUGGGUGGCGCAGGUGGGAGAAGAGUCUGAGAGCCCGGGGAGACUUCAGGGCCAGAGGCUCGCCCAGCCCCAGCACAUGGUAGUAUACCUAAGAGAGGGAGAAGAGCUUAGAAAUGGAGUCAAGCCCUUUUCUCAUCUUGGGCACUUCUUUCCUCCUCUUCCAGGCACCACCCUUCUAGAACUCAGGCCCAGGAACCCCCCUUCUGAGACUUGGAUCCCUGAUCCUGACUUCUGAUCCAUGUACCUUCCCCAGGCCCAGGAGGCCCAUGCUUGCUGCCCUUACGAGGGAAAGUCAAAGGGAAGGGCCACGAGGGAGAAGCAGGGAGACAGUAGAAGAGCAUGGGAGGAGGGAAACCCUUGAAAGGGAACGAGGAGUUCUAAAAUGGGUCAGAGGUCAUAGGUAGGGAUCUCGGAGCCUCACCUGUUUGAGGCCCAUGAGCUCAGCAUAGUCAAAGACGAGAAGGAUGCUAAAGAUGAGGAGCCAGGAGAUGACAUGGAGCACAAAGCAGAGGAGCGGCACCCAGGUGGCCCAUGGCUCAGCCCGAGCCUCCCACAACACAGGGCCUUUGGGUAUGGGCUCCCAGUACCGCAUCACCAGCUGUGGAAGGAUAAGGGGCUGGGUAUCCCAGUGGCCUAGUCUGCCCGACCUUGGGAGACCCAGACCCAGAUCUGCCCCCACCACAGGCUAGCCUGCAACUCUCCCCCACCUCUCUCCUAAGCAUCACCACCAAAUAUUCACCAUGUGGAGGGUGCGUGCUGGGUGAGGUCCCAAAGAUGUAAGGAUGGCCUGUCUCUACCCUGAGAACUUAUAGAAUAGAUGGGGUGACCUGAUAGCUACGCAAAGUAGUAGCCUGUGCCAACCACCCAGUGAAAAGACAGACAAGGCCUUCUCUUCAGACCUAGGGAAGUGGUUUUGAAGAAAGGGUAGGACUGAAGAGAAGGGAUCUCAAGCAGGACAUAAACAAAGUUGCAGAGGUGAGAAGCAUAUCUUGUGCUUAGGGAAGGACAAGUACACCCUUCUUGAUAAAAAGUAGGAUAUGUGCUGUGGAGGAAUGGAAGCUGAGAUUAGUUCCUCAAUUCUCCUCCUGAACCCAUAUUUUGCCCCUCCAAUCCACGGCACCCCUCCCACACUUGGUCUCCCUUGGGGACUCAACUGCCAGGAUUUCAUACCUGCAAGGCCAGGGCCUCAUACCUGCAAGGCCAGGGCAGUGCAGGCCACAUACAGUGACCUCUGAAGGACCCCAAAGUACCGGGAUGUCCAUGCCUUCACUCUUUCAGCUGCCAUGAGGCUGUGCUGCCCAACAAAUAGAAGCAGGAGCCCCAGAUCCCAUGCCAGGGGGGCAAGGAUGCUGCGGUCCUGCAGGGCAGCCAGCCAUCCCUGGCGGGCAUCUACAGGAAGUUGAGGGAAAAAGAGAC
rnacentral:lncRNA from 1 species